rnacentral:rRNA from 1 species
AUUGAACGCUAGCGGGAUGCCUUACACAUGCAAGUCGAACGGAGUGGCGAACGGGUGAGUAAUGUAUCGGAACGUGCCCAGUAGCGGGGGAUAACUACGCGAAAGCGUAGCUAAUACCGCAUACUAUUGGAGCGGCCGAUAUCGGAUUAGCUAGUUGGUGGGGUAAAGGCUCACCAAGGCAACGAUCCGUAGCUGGUUUGAGAGGACGACCAGCCACACUGGGACUGAGACACGGCCCAGACUCCUACGGGAGGCAGCAGUGGGGAAUUUUGGACAAUGGGGGAAACCCUGAUCCAGCCAUCCCGCGUGUAUGAUGAAGGCCUUCGGGUUGUAAAGUACUUUUGGCAGGGAAGCGGUAUCUGCAGAAUAAGCACCGGCUAACUACGUGCCAGCAGCCGCGGUAAUUC